AUGUAUGGCGAUAAAAGCCAGAACAAAAUCAAAACUCAGAAUCAAAAAACCAGAAAGGAAUCAGAAUACAAAACAGGAAGAAUAAUAUGCUCCAGAACUACCAUUCCUGCAACACCAGAUGAAAUAAAAGAUUUUAAAAGAGAUCACCAAAUAAAAAACUACGUUCCAUGCUAUAUUGAAAAUUAUUUUGAUAAACCAAGCUGCUGA